rnacentral:rRNA from 1 species
GACGAACGCUGGCGGCAUGCCUAACACAUGCAAGUCUAGGGGUAGCAAUACCACUGGCGCACGGGUGAGUAACACGUAGGUUAUCUGCCCUCAUCACAGACAUAACCCCGGGAAACCGGGCUAAUAUCUGAUGAGGUCGCGAGAUCAAAGCUUCGGCGGAUGGGGAUGAGCCUGCGGCUGAUUAGCUAGUUGGUGAGGUAAUGGCUCACCAAGGCGACGAUCAGUAGCUGGUCUGAGAGGACGAACAGCCACACUGGAACUGAGACACGGUCCAGACUCCUACGGGAGGCAGCAGUGAGGAAUAUUGGUCAAUGGGAGCAAUCCUGAACCAGCAAUGCCGCGUGUGGGAUGACAGGGCUUCGCCUUGUAAACCACUGUCGGACGGGACGAAAGGAGGCCUCGGGCCUCUGGGACGGUACCGUCAAAGGAAGGGUCGGCUAACUACGUGCCAGCAGCCGCGGUAAU